rnacentral:rRNA from 1 species
UGGGGAAUAUUGCGCAAUGGGCGAAAGCCUGACGCAGCAAUGCCGCGUGAGUGAGGAAGGUCUUCGGAUUGUAAAGCUCUGUCAGGGUGGAAAAAAGGGUACUUUUCGAAUAGGGAAGUAUUUUGAUGGUACACCCAAAGGAAGCACCGGCUAACUUCGUGCCAGCAGCCGCGGUAAUACGAAGGGUGCAAGCGUUGUUCGGAUUUAUUGGGCGUAAAGCGCGCGCAGGCGGAUAGAUAAGUCAGGUGUGAAAUCUCGGGGCUCAACUCCGAAACUGCGCCUGAAACUGUUUAUCUAGAAUACAAGAGAGGAGAAGGGAAUUUCACAUGUAGGAGUAAAAUCCGUAGAGA